rnacentral:rRNA from 1 species
AAAGCGCGCGCAGGCGGCCUUUUAAGUCUGAUGUGAAAUCUUGCGGCUCAACCGCAAGCGGCCAUUGGAAACUGGGAGGCUUGAGUACAGAAGAGGAGAGUGGAAUUCCACGUGUAGCGGUGAAAUGCGUAGAUAUGUGGAGGAACACCAGUGGCGAAGGCGACUCUCUGGUCUGUAACUGACGCUGAGGCGCGAAAGCGUGGGGAGCAAACAGGAUUAGAUACCCUGGUAGUCCACGCCGUAAACGAUGAGUGCUAGGUGUUAGGGGUUUCGAUGCCCGUAGUGCCGAAGUUAACACAUUAAGCACUCCGCCUGGGGAGUACGGCCGCAAGGCUGAAACUCAAAGGAAUUGACGGGGGCCCGCACAAGCAGUGGAGCAUGUGGUUUAAUUCGAAGCAACGCGAAGAACCUUACCAGGUCUUGACAUCCUUUGACCACUCUGGAGACAGAGCUUCCCCUUCGGGGGCAAAGUGACAGGUGGUGCAUGGUUGUCGUCAGCUCGUGUCGUGAGAUGUUGGGUUAAGUCCCGCAACGAGCGCAACCCUUGACCUUAGUUGCCAGCAUUUAGUUGGGCACUCUAAGGUGACUGCCGGUGACAAACCGGAGGAAGGUGGGGAUGACGUCAAAUCAUCAUGCCCCUUAUGACCUGGGCUACACACGUGCUACAAUGGAUGGUACAAAGGGUUGCGAAGCCGCGAGGUGAAGCCAAUCCCAUAAAGCCAUUCUCAGUUCGGAUUGUAGGCUGCAACUCGCCUGCAUGAAGCUGGAAUUGCUAGUAAUCGCGGAUCAGCUGCCGCGGA